CUGGGUCCACCUCCCACCCGUGUUUAUUUACCUUGUUGCUUCGGCGGGCCCGCCUUAACUGGCCGCCGGGGGGCUCACGCCCCCGGGCCCGCGCCCGCCGAAGACACCCUCGAACUCUGUCUGAAGAUUGUAGUCUGAGUGAAAAUAUAAAUUAUUUAAAACUUUCAACAACGGAUCUCUUGGUUCCGGCAUCGAUGAAGAACGCAGCGAAAUGCGAUACGUAAUGUGAAUUGCAAAUUCAGUGAAUCAUCGAGUCUUUGAACGCACAUUGCGCCCCCUGGUAUUCCGGGGGGCAUGCCUGUCCGAGCGUCAUUGCUGCCCUCAAGCACGGCUUGUGUGUUGGGCCCCGUCCUCCGAUUCCGGGGGACGGGCCCGAAAGGCAGCGGCGGCACCGCGUCCGGUCCUCGAGCGUAUGGGGCUUUGUCACCCGCUCUGUAGGCCCGGCCGGCGCUUGCCGAUCAACCCAAAUUUUUAUCCAGGUUGACCUCGGAUCAGGUAGGGAUACCCGCUGAACUUAAGCAUAUCAAUAAGCGGAGGAA
rnacentral:rRNA from 1 species